CUGGAAGAAGGGUUCUCUCUCCGGCCGGAGAAGGGGCGCAGAUGGGUGAAUGGAGAUGACCCGGAGAGCUAAGUGACAGGAUAAAAAUUGUGUUGAGAUGUACAGUACAUUAGACAAAGUAGGAAUAUGUACUGAUCUGAACAAAUGUACUGUUGGAAAUGACUGGAGAUAGGCAAUCCUCCCAGAUAACUGGGCCCAUGAAGAGCUUUAUAGAUGGAGAAAACAAAAAUAUUAAAACUUAGAAUAAGAAGAAAUGGCAUCUUACUUUUGGACAACAAGUUUACUAUUAUUUAGAAAAACUCACUUGUACGAAGAGUUAUUUACUGUAAUACAGUACCUUACCGUAAUACUGUUCAUUUAAAGGAUAUAAUAGCCGAAGCUCAACUUUCAUAAUAAUUCCUAUUACAUUCAGUGGUAUCAGAUUAACCUUUGGCUAUUUCUCACCUCUUUUAUUCACAACAAAGAAUAUAAGAGCACUGCAACUGGGAAGAUUUAUCCCUGCUUCAUUGAAAGUUAUAACUAUUAAGAAAACAGUUAGCUAUUGCAAAAUUAGAUGUUAACUGCAAUGAGAAUUAUUUAUCGAUAAAUUUGCACAGGUCUGUUCACUAGUCCUACUAAAUUUCUGAGAAUGCAUUACUAGAAAUGAAAAUCAAUUCUUCUUGUUUAGAUUUCUGAAAAUUCUAUGAUGUUGGAAUAUGUCUCAUUAAACUCAAUGGAAUUUGGGUCAGAGAACCAACCUAGAACUGAACUUCUCAGAGGCUGUUCUUCUAAAGCCUACAUUCAAAAGUAAUGCUAAACAUAAAAAAUAAGCUUAGCAAGCUUUGAUUUUGUAUGAUAUCUUGAGGCAUAGGACUAGCCAAGAGAUAAGGCUAUGACUGGAAUGCUCUGAUUGUAGCAAGUGCAUGAUUUAGCAAAUGCUUUUGUGCAUGCAAUUUCCAGAAUUUUUUUAUAUUAGCACUUAUAUGAAAUUGAAUAUUUGUAGAUGAAGGAAGUCGCCUAGAGAUGUCAGCUGAGGUAAACCAUUUUGAACAUGAUAUUAUUUUUGAUUUACCAAAAGUACUAUGGAAUGCAUGAUUUACUGGCUACUGGCUCAUGGAUGAGCAUGAACAGGCAAGGUCAUGGCAGCAUGGUAGGAGCAUAUCUAAGUUUGCAUUGUGCAAGCAGUCCAGUUUGGAAGCUUUCCUAGGCUCAGUGUCAUCCAAGGAGUGGGUGUGAUCAGGAAUGUUUUCUGUCUCCAUAGGAAAGUACAUUAUGUAAUGCCAUUUGAGGAGACUAGGCCUUGCUACAGCUACUGAAUUUGUAGGGUAUCUAUUCUUCCUUAUUAUAAAACCACUUAAUACAAGAGGGUCUUUAAAUAUAUUUUGGAUUUGUAUAAAAUGUGCUCCCUAAGUAUUGGUGGAUUCUCAGACUGCAUAGGUUGUCACUGUUUUUCCUUCAGUUUUGGAGCUGGUUCCAAAUCCUAAAAGAUUCAAAUCAAAGCUCCAUGAGGGGCUCUCUGCCUUUUGAUUUAUCUCAGAAAGUCAGUACUUCUUACUAGUAAAUGCAUUUAUGGAGCCAAGUGCUAAUUAACAUCUGUCAGAGCUCAUCAUUUCAGGCCAUCAUGUGGUCCUGCAUGUCUUGAUUUAAAAUUGAAUUACCCAAGUGAAGUUAUAAUAUACAUUUUUUUUUA